rnacentral:rRNA from 1 species
GAUGAACGCUGGCGGCGCGCCUAACAAAUGCAAGUCGAACGAUUAAAGCACCUUCGGGUGUGUAUAAAGUGGCGAACGGCUGAGUAACACGUGGGCAACCUGCCCCUUUCAUUGGGAUAGCCACGGGAAACCGUGGAUAAUACCGAAUACUUCGAGACUUCCGCAUGGAAGACUCGAGAAAGCUCCGGCGGAGAGGGAUGGGCCCGCGGCCUGUUAGCUUGUUGGUGGGGUAACGGCCUACCAAGGCAAUGAUGGGUAGCUGGGUUGAGAGACCGACCAGCCAGAUUGGGACUGAGACACGGCCCAGACUCCUACGGGAGGCAGCAGUGGGGAAUCUUGCACAAUGGGCGAAAGCCUGAUGCAGCGACGCCGCGUGCGGGAUGAAGGCCUUCGGGUUGUAAACCGCUUCCAGCAGGGACGAGGCGAAAGUGACGGUACCUGCAGAAGAAGCCCCGGCUAACUACGU